rnacentral:rRNA from 1 species
UAUGGCCAUACGACCCUGAAUGCACCUGAUCGUGUCUGAUCUCAGAAGCUAAGUAGGGUCGGGCCUGGUUAGUACUUGGAUGGGAGAAAUUCAGGUAUGGCUUAAC